rnacentral:lncRNA from 10 species
ACGAUUGGAUUAUCAAAGCUUUAUUCACGUUUGUGUUUGGCUACAAAGUCUUUUAGGAUCCUUUUGAUCCUAAAAGUCCCCCUCUUCCCUCCCCUGUGCCCUUGACUUGUUGGUGAAGCUGGUCACUUGUCCUCGAAGGUGUCCCCAGUCUGGACUUAGCAUCCUCCUUGUAGUGUUUAACUUGUUCCUCUGUCCCCUCUAUAUCCUGUCGUCUGGAAGUUGGAUCUAAAGUUGUGGCUGGAAUCACACCCGGACGGUGCUCAGUUCCUCGUGUCACAGCCUCAUGUCCAAUUGUGUCACUUUGUUGAAGCAUUAAUAAGCUUGGAUGGCGACAGCCUGACCCCUUUAUCGUCAGUUUCCCCUCAACUGUUCCCCUGACAGUUUUGCCACCUGUGGGUGACCAUUGCUAGAACCAGAACCUUCACUGGGACUGCAGAAUUCUCGUCUUCUGUCUCAUCAGAAGGACAUUUAGUGGCUGGAAUUCUCUCAGACCUUCCCUUUAUCCAUUAGGGUAAGUCAGGUUACCCUGAAGUGCGUUCAUACUAGAAAGGCAGCAUAAGCACUUAAUUAUUUCCCUUUAAUGAUCAAUUUUUGGAGUAAGAAUGUCCUGGCACCCUCCAGUGGUGCCAAAGGACUGGGAGUUCCUCACACCACUGCACUUACCCUUCCCGCUUCCCUACUCAUGUUACGAGCUUAAUGCUUUCAUGUAUACAGUCUGUCCUCAGUAUCCACAGGGGUGCGUUACAGGACCCACACGGGUACCAAAAUCAGAUGCUCGAGUCUCUUGUAUAAAAUGGCAUGGGAUUUGCAUGCAACUUAUGCACAUUCUCACAUAUACCUUAAGUCAUCUCUAGAUUGCUUAUAAUACCUGAUACAGUGUAAAUGCUCUGUACGCAGUUGUUAUACUGUAUAUUUUUGGGGUUUUUUAUUGUGGGCUUUUGGGGAAUAUUUUUAUUUUUAUUUAUUUAUUUAUUUAUUUAUUUUUUGAGAUGGAGUC